GAUGAAGAACGUAGCGAAAUGCGAUACUUGGUGUGAAUUGCAGAAUCCCGUGAACCAUCGAGUAUUUGAACGCUAGUUGCGUCCGAAGCCAUUAGGCCGAGGGCACGCCUGCCUGGGUGUCACACACCGUUACCCACGCGCCAACGUCCAUCGUUGGCCGCGGCGCGGGGCGUGCGCUGACCUCCCGCGAGCGGGGUCUCGUGGUUGGUUGAAAAUCGAGUUCGCGGUCGAGGGUGCCGUGAUGAAAUGGUGGAUGGGCGACGCCCGAGGCCAAUCACGCGCGACUCGGUACGGCUCGGACUCCUGGACCCCUUCGGCGUCUCCGGACGCUCUUUGGCGAGACCUCAGGUCAGGCGGGGCUACCCGCUGAGUUUAAGCAUAUCAAUAAGCGGAGGA
rnacentral:misc_RNA from 1 species